UACGGGAGGUAGCAAGUGGGAAUUUUGCACAAUGGGCGAAAGCCUGAUGCAGCGACGCCGCGUGAGGGAUGAAGGCCUUCGGGUCGUAAACCUCUGUUGAUGGGGAAGAAAAAAUGACGGUACCCAUCGAGGAAGCCUCGGCUAACUCCGUGCUAGCAGCCGCGGCAAGACGGGGGAGGCUAGUGUUGUCCGGAUUGACUGGGCGUAAAGAGCGUGUAGGCGGGGUCUUAUGUCAGUGGUGAAAUUUUCUCGCUCAACGAGAAAACUGCCGCCGAAACUGAGACUCUUGAGGGCAGGAGAGGAGAGUGGAAUUGCUGGUGUAGCGGUGAAAUGUGUAGAUAUCAGCAAGAACACCCGUGGCGAAAGCGGCUCUCUGGACUGCUCCUGACGCUGAGACGCGAAAGCCAGGGGAGCGAACGGGAUUAGAUACCCCGGUAGUCCUGGCUGUAAACGAUGGUCACUAGGUGUUGGGGGAUCGACCCCUUCAGCGCCGUAGCUAACGCAUUAAGUGACCCGCCUGGGGAGUACGACCGCAAGGUUGAAACUCAAAGGAAUUGACGGGGGCCCGCACAAGCGGUGGAGCAUGUGGCUUAAUUCGACGCAACGCGAAGAACCUUACCAGGGUUUGACAGUUAUGGAAUCCCUUCGAAAGUUGGGAGUGCCCUUCGGGGAACCAUAAAACAGGUGGUGCAUGGCCGUCGUCAGCUCGUGUCGUGAGAUGUUGGGUUGAGUCCCGCAACGAGCGCAACCCUCACUGUGUGUUGCCAGCGGUUCGGCCGGGAACUCACACGGAACUGCCUCGGUAACGAGGAGGAAGGUGGGGAUGACGCCAGGUCCGCAUGCCCCUUACACCCUGGGCUGCACACAUGCUACAAUGGGAAGUACAAUGGGUCGCAAUGUCGCGAGGCGGAGCUAAUCCUCAAAACUUUCCCCAGUUCGGAUUGUAGUCUGCAACUCGACUACAUGAAUGUCGGAAUCGCUAGUAACCGCAAAUCAGCUACGUUGCGGUGAAUACGUUCUCGGGCCUUGUACACACCGCCCGUCAAGCGAUGAGAGUCAAGUGCACCUGAAGUCGUUGGCCUAACUUGUAAAAGAGGGAGGCGCCCAAGGUGCGAUUGGCGAUUGGCGCUAAGUCGUAACAAGGUAGCCGUACUAGUACGAGUGAAGU
rnacentral:rRNA from 1 species